AAUAGAUACCCCGGUAGUCCACGCCCUAAACGAUGUCAACUAGCUGUUGGGGUUUAUUAACCUUAGUAGCGCAGCCAACGCGUGAAGUUGACCGCCUGGGGAGUACGGUCGCAAGAUUAAAACUCAAAGGAAUUGACGGGGACCCGCACAAGCGGUGGAUGAUGUGGAUUAAUUCGAUGCAACGCGAAAAACCUUACCUACCCUUGACAUGUCUGGAAUCCCGAAGAGAUUUGGGAGUGCUCGCAAGAGAACCGGAACACAGGUGCUGCAUGGCUGUCGUCAGCUCGUGUCGUGAGAUGUUGGGUUAAGUCCCGCAACGAGCGCAACCCUUGCCAUUAGUUGCUACAUUUAGUUGGGCACUCUAAUGGGACUGCCGGUGACAAACCGGAGGAAGGUGGGGAUGACGUCAAGUCCUCAUGGCCCUUAUGGGUAGGGCUUCACACGUCAUACAAUGGUCGGGACAGAGGGUUGCCAAGCCGCGAGGUGGAGCCAAUCUCAGAAACCCGAUCGUAGUCCGGAUCGCAGUCUGCAACUCGAC
rnacentral:rRNA from 1 species